rnacentral:tRNA from 1 species
GCCUUCGUGGUGUAAUGGUCAGCACGCUCGGCGCGUAUUCGAGAGGUCCGUGGUUCGAGUCCCGGCGAGGGCA